UACAGAGGGUGCAAGCGUUAAUCGGAAUUACUGGGCGUAAAGGGUGAGUAGGUGGUAGUUUAAGUUACAUGUGAAAUCUUUGAGCUUAACUCAGAAAGUGCAUGUAAUACUGUUCUACUAGAGUACUGUAGAGGGCGAUGGAAUUUCCGGUGUAGCGGUGAAAUGCGUAGAUAUCGGAAGGAACACCAGUGGCGAAGGCGAUCGCCUGGGCAGAUACUGACACUAAUACACGAAAGCGUGGGGAGCAAACAGGAUUAGAUACCCUGGUAGUCCACGCUGUAAACGAUGAGAACUUGCUGUUGGAUGCUGAAUAAGCGUUUAGUAGCGUAGCUAACGCGAUAAGUUCUCCGCCUGGGGAGUACGGCCGCAAGGUUAAA
rnacentral:rRNA from 1 species